rnacentral:rRNA from 1 species
GAUGAACGCUGGCGGCGUGCCUAAUACAUGCAAGUCGAGCGAACAGACGAGGAGCUUGCUCCUCUGACGUUAGCGGCGGACGGGUGAGUAACACGUGGAUAACCUACCUAUAAGACUGGGAUAACUUCGGGAAACCGGAGCUAAUACCGGAUAAUAUAUUGAACCGCAUGGUUCAAUAGUGAAAGACGGUUUUGCUGUCACUUAUAGAUGGAUCCGCGCCGCAUUAGCUAGUUGGUAAGGUAACGGCUUACCAAGGCAACGAUGCGUAGCCGACCUGAGAGGAUGAUCGGCCACACUGGAACUGAGACACGGUCCAGACUCCUACGGGAGGCAGCAGUAGGGAAUCUUCCACAAUGGGCGAAAGCCUGACGGAGCAACACCGCGUGAGUGAUGAAGGUCUUCGGAUCGUAAAACUCUGUUAUUAGGGAAGAACAAAUGUAUAAUUAACUAUGCACGUCUUGACGGUACCUAAUCAGAAAGCCACGGCUAACUACGUG